rnacentral:rRNA from 1 species
UGGGGAAUUUUGGACAAUGGGCGAAAGCCUGAUCCAGCAAUGCCGCGUGUGUGAAGAAGGCCUUCGGGUUGUAAAGCACUUUUGUCCGGAAAGAAAUCCUUGGCUCUAAUACAGUCGGGGGGAUGACGGUACCGGAAGAAUAAGCACCGGCUAACUACGUGCCAGCAGCCGCGGUAAUACGUAGGGUGUAAGCGUUAAUCGGAAUUACUGGGCGUAAAGCGUGCGCAGGCGGUUUGCUAAGACCGAUGUGAAAUCCCCGGGCUCAACCUGGGAACUGCAUUGGUGACUGGCAGGCUAGAGUAUGGCAGAGGGGGGUAGAAUUCCACGUGUAGCAGUGAAAUGCGUAGAGAUGUGGAGGAAUACCGAUGGCGAAGGCAGCCCCCUGGGCCAAAUACUGACGCUCAUGCACGAAAGCGU